AAAAAUGGGCGCAAGCCUGAUGCAGCCAUGCCGCGUGUAUGAAGAAGGCCUUCGGGUUGUAAAGUACUUUCAGCGGGGAGGAAGGGAGUAAAGUUAAUACCUUUGCUCAUUGACGUUACCCGCAGAAGAAGCACCGGCUAACUCCGUGCCAGCAGCCGCGGUAAU
rnacentral:rRNA from 1 species